rnacentral:rRNA from 1 species
AGCAGUAGCCACGGUAAUACAGAGGGUGCGAGCGUUAAUCGGAUUUACUGGGCGUAAAGCGUGCGUAGGCGGCUAAUUGAGUCGGAUGUGAAAUCCCCGAGCUUAACUUGGGAAUUGCAUUCGAUACUGGUUAGCUAGAGUGUGGGAGAGGAUGGUAGAAUUCCAGGUGUAGCGGUGAAAUGCGUAGAGAUCUGGAGGAAUACCGAUGGCGAAGGCAGCCAUCUGGCCUAACACUGACGCUGAGGUACGAAAGCAUGGGGAGCAAACAGGAUUAGAUACCCCGGUAGUCCCUGUCUCUUAUAC